CUCCUAAAAUUCCUCCCUAAAAUGGCAUCAUCAAAUAUUUAUUCUUCAUCCGUUACACCACAAAAUAUAUCCUUCAAUGCUAUUAACAUCCGCAGUCAACUGCAUGGAAGCACUACAAAAGGUAGAGACUUGAGAGGAUCUUAUUAUGUUUCUUAAAGCUUAAUUUGUCAAGAUUUUAGUCACGGUGAUAGGAAAAUAAGUUUUUUGUUCUGCUAGAUCAACGUCCUGUUGUGAUAAGCCCAAAGAAAGAAAAGGACAAUUGUUACUUGGAUAAAAGUGGAGCAAUAUAAUAUGCAAGAAGAAAUUCCCAUUUCCCGCUUCGUUUUGGACAAUUCUAUGGUUACAGAGGCCAAAGAAUAGAAAACCUAUUAUUAAAGAUUCUUCCAGAAAAUUCGAAAGAUUGCUUUGUUCACAUAGAGAUACCCUUAAGGCUGCUGCCAUAAGUUCGGUAGAAAAUUUAUCAUGACCAUUUUAGAGAUCAAUGAUGUGGACCUCCUAUACAUAAAUUGAAGUGCAAAGACACACUCUCUCUCCAUUAUUUGAGGUUACUCGAUUAUGCAGAAUUCCACUCUACUUUGAGGUACAAGGACUCAACUGAGACGAAUUUAUGUUUGCAUGCUUCAAAAAUCCAUGAGUUUUUACAGAAUUAUUGUGGGUUUCUUCUUGGACCUUUGAUUGUUGGUUAGCAAUAUUAUGUUAAGACAAUGUGCUUUAGUUGUAAAUUAUCCAAUAUGUAAGAUAUCAUGGAACUGUGCUUUGUACAUUAACAUACCCUUAAUACUUUUGGUUGGUAUGGAUAGAA